rnacentral:rRNA from 1 species
UACGAAGGGGGCUAGCGUUGCUCGGAUUGACUGGGCGUAAAGGGCGCGUAGGCGGUUUGUACAGUCAGACGUGAAAUUCCUGGGCUCAACCUGGGGGCUGCGUUUGAUACGUGCAGACUUGAGUUCGGAAGAGGGUCGUGGAAUUCCCAGUGUAGAGGUGAAAUUCGUAGAUAUUGGGAAGAACACCGGUGGCGAAGGCGGCGACCUGGUCCGAUACUGACGCUGAGGCGCGAAAGCGUGGGGAGCGAUCCGG